rnacentral:SRP_RNA from 1 species
GCCGGGCACAGUGGCGCAUUCCUGUAGUCCCAGCUACUCAGGAGGCUGAGGCGGGAGGAUCGCUUGAGCCCAGGAGUUCUGGGCUGUAGUGUGCUAUGCUGAUUGGGUGUCCGCACUAAGUUCGGCAUCAAUAUGGUGACCUCCCAGGAGCGGGGGACCACCAGGUUUCCUAAGGAGGGGUAAACUGGCCCAGGUCGGAAACGGAGCAGGUCAAAACUCCCGUGCUGAUUGGUAGUGGGAUCGCGCCUGUGAAUAGCCACUGCAUUCCAGCCUAGGCAACAUAGUGGACUCCGUCCGUCUCU